UACAGAGGGUGCGAGCGUUAAUCGGAAUUAUUGGGCGUAAAGGGCUCGUAGGCGGUCUGUCGCGUCGGGAGUGAAAACUCAGGGCUUAACCCUGAGCCUGCUUCCGAUACGGGCAGACUAGAGGUAUGCAGGGGAGAACGGAAUUCCUGGUGUAGCGGUGGAAUGCGCAGAUAUCAGGAGGAACACCGGUGGCGAAGGCGGGUCUCUGGGCCGAUACUGACGCUGAGGAGCGAAAGCGUGGGAGCGAACAGG
rnacentral:rRNA from 1 species